rnacentral:rRNA from 1 species
ACACGCAUGACACACUGCAUAUCAAUAAGCGGAGGAAAAGAAACUAACAAGGAUUCCCUUAGUAACGGCGAGUGAAGCGGGAAGAGCUCAAAUUUGAAAUCUUCAAGGUUUUACCUUGACGAAUUGUAGUUUAAAGAAGUGUUUUCUGUUGAAGUUUUGGUAAAAGUUCUUUGGAAUAGGACAUCAUAGAGGGUGAGAAUCCCGUAUUUGACCAUUAUUUUCAGCUGUGUGAUACACUUUCAAAGAGUCGGAUUGUUUGGGAAUGCAGUCCAAAAUGGGUGGUAAAUUUCAUCUAAAGCUAAAUAUUGGCGAGAGACCGAUAGCGAACAAGUACCGUGAGGGAAAGAUGAAAAGAACUUUGAAAAGAGAGUUAAACAGUACGUGAAAUUGUCAAAAGGGAAGCGUUUGACACCAGUGUUGUUUUUCCGAAAAUCAAUUACGAAUGUUUUGUUUUUAAGAAGUUAUGACUUCAUCGGCUUGCUUCUUUCUUUACGAAACUUUCUUAAUGCACUUUUCGGUUAACAAGUCAACAUCAAUUUCUUUUGUUGUAAAAGGGUAUGAGGAAGGUGGCUUUCUUUUCGGAGAAAGUGUUUAUAGCCUUGUGCCUCUGCAAUCGGAGAGAUUGAGGUCUGCAGCGUAGAUCCUUCGGGGUUAGAUACGUUUGUGCUAAGUUAUAGCUUUUCAUAGACAACUUGUUGACUAUGUUUAGUCUUGUAGCUUACUCGCUGACGCUAUUUUACCUACGCUUAGGAUGUUGAGCGCAUGUCUCUCUCU